GUGCUCACUUCAGCAGCACAUAUACAAAGAUUGGAAUGAAACAGAGAAGAUUAACAGGGCCCCUGCCUGAGCAUGUUGUGCAAAUUCAUGAGGCCUUCCAUAUCUUU